UUACCAGACUCCUACGGGAGGCAGCAGUGGGGGAUAUUGCACAAUGGGGGGAACCCUGAUGCAGCGACGCCGCGUGGGUGAAGGAGUAUUUCGGUAUGUAAAGCCCUAUCGGCAGGGAAGAAGCAAGACGGUACCUGACUAAGAAGCCCCGGCUAACUACGUGCCAGCAGCCGCGGUAAUACGUAGGGGGCGAGCGUUAUCCGGAUUCACUGGGCGUAAAGGGAGCGUAGACGGCCAAGCAAGCCAGGGGUGAAAGCCCGGGGCCCAACCCCGGGACUGCUCUUGGAACUGCGCGGCUGGAGUGCAGGAGGGGCAGGCGGAAUUCCCGGUGUAGCGGUGAAAUGCGUAGAUAUCAGGAGGAACACCGGUGGCGAAGGCGGCUUACUGGACGAUGACUGACGCUGAGGCUCGAAAGCGUGGGGAGCAAACAGGAUUAGAUACCCGAGUAUG
rnacentral:rRNA from 1 species